CACUCAGCACAAGUGCUUCACACCAUCCACGGGCCUGGCUCCUCUUCUCGGGCCUAAGUGGGAAAAACAGAACACGGGCUGGGGGCAGAGCUUGCCCCAGGGCUACCCCCACAAUUCCUGUCACAGUAGUGGUGGCACCACUGUGAGCUCAUUUCUUCCUCACAGUACCACCUGGGGGGGUGGGAACCAUAGCUGUCUCCAUUUUCCUGAAGAGUAGAUUGAGAUGUGAGCAUGAUGGGACAGAGAAAAGGGGCCAGGACCAGAAGAUCUGUGGGGUGGGUGAGGGAUAUGCUGCCAAGAAUCAGGCGCAUUCACUCAGUGGAACCCAGAAGCCAGAAAGUUGGCAGCAUGACCUACGUGCCCCAGGCCGGCGCAUGUCCCUAGAGAAGAGACGUAAAAAUUCUUCCAUGUGAGGGCUGCCAACAAAGAAGUCUGCUUCACCCACCAGUCUAAAGCUCCCUCCAGCCAACAAAUCUCCAAAGAGCUCUUUAGUGCUGUACUCUCAGCAAUGAACAGAUUGUCAAGGAUCCCUGAACAUGGGAGUGAAGCUGCCAGCAUGGAGCCCAACAAAUAAACAGAAAAAAGGCACUCAGAGGAAUUGGAGGGAAGGGAGCAGGAAACAAGCUCAAAAUGAAACUCUUAUCGUUGAUACUCUCAGGGGAUGAGAGAGGAUGUUGCAUCCAAGAAACGAGGUCAGCAUUCUCUAAGGAAGGGGUCAUCAAAGCACAAGAAAGAGGGUUUCUAAUAGAUGGGACAGAAGGCAGAGCUGAGGAAAUGUCUAGGAAAAAAGACAAAGAGCUUGACAAUAAAAAAGAAAAGACAACCAGAAGGUUGGUCCAGAUGAUUCAUUGUCCUACUAUUUGGAGUUAGAACAGAGAAAACAGAGAAGGCAUUUCCAAAGAAAUAAUACAAGAAAAUUGCCAGCUGAAGGGAGGGAGCCUUCAAAAGGAGAGAGCUCAUCAAGCAAAAGCACAAUGAGCUUUUAAAAUUCCAAACCAAGGUAUAUCAUCAUGAAAUCUGAACGCAUCAGGGACAAAGAGAAAAUCCUACAAACUGGUGGAUCGUGGAGGGUGGUACAACACGUACAUAGGUUUAAGGAUUAGAAUGACGUUAGACUUCACAACAGCAGCACUGGAAGAUGGGAGACAAUGGACUAAUGCCUUUGAAAUUUUGAUGAAAAAGUUUUCUCAACCUAGAUUUCUACAUCUUGCCAAAUUAUUUUUCUAAGUAUGAAGUGGUAUAAAAGAAUUGCUAGGCGUGCAACAUCUUUAAAAUUUUUACCUUCUGUAUAUCCCUUCUCAGAAAGAUGCUGGAGGAUGUGCUCCAGCAAAACAAGCAGGUAAACCAAGAAAGAGGAGGACCUGGGGUGCAGGAAGCAGGGGACCUAGCCCUACAGAGAGGCCAAGAGAAGCUCCAAGGUAACACUUUGUACCACAGAGCAGAGAACAACUGUUCAGAUCUGAGCAGGAAGUCAAAGGACCUGGGAGGGAGGCCUCCAGGGGAGAAGGAACUGCUAGAUUAUCACAUAUGUUAGGGCACUUGAAACAACUGUUGAUAGGUGCUUGACAGAAAUAUGGAAGCAUUUGGGGAAAAGUUAGCCAUCAGGAUAUUGAAAAUGAUAAAAGGAGGUAUUUACCUCUGGUGUGGAGGGGAGGAUUAUGAGGCAGAAACAUAUUCAUCAUACACUGUUUGGCUCUGCAAUGAGCAACAGUCCUGGUAAUAUAAAUGCUGACUAUCAAUGCCAAAAAUUAUGAUCUAAGAUACAUUAGGAUGAUGGAUGAGGGAGGAAAGUGGGAGCACAGUGGACAAUGAGAGUCAAAUUCUCCAUGAUUAUGAUAGAAAGUUAACAAAUUAUGUCAAGAUAUAAUAAAUAAAAAAGUCACAUACCCUUAUUUUUUCAGAAGCAAAUUUAAAAAGUGGAAAGCAGUGGUCCCUGGGGAGUGGGACCAUGGGAUGGGAGAGACAGGAGGGGAUGGCUGCACUUUUGCUGUGAGGCUAAGCUACGUGGAUUGUGUACUUCCUGCAGGGAUUGCUUUUCCAAAAAUAAACACUUAAUUGCAGAAGGAAGAGGGAGCUCCUGCCACUCGCCUGCCAUUGUGGUGCAGAACGGGGCACAGGCAGAGGCCAGCGGCAGGAAGACUCAGAAGACUGGGCAAUGUGGGUAUUUAACAAAUGGAAGAAGUCCCUGUAUGGUAGGUGCCCUGGAGGCAGAAAUCCUGGGCCUGAGGAGCCAGUGGGAGCCCGUCUCUCUUCUGCGGUCACUCUUGUCAAAUUAUGUCAGCUGGAUUUGUUCAUAGAAUAUGGCUUCCAAAAGAAUAGCAGCCACAGGUGCUGGGCUGGAGGGAAGAGAUCAUGACCCGACUAAGUGGCGGUCCUCAGGCAGUUUGGAGAAGGGAAAGAUCUUUCAAGAAUGAAAGUGAAAUAAAGCCUGAGGGAGUUCAAUGCCAUCGAAUUGAAAGGAAUUCCGCAAAAUGUAUCUCAGGGAGAAGGAAAGUGAUCUCAGCUGAAGGCUUGAGGUGGAAGAAGGAAUGAAGGAGACAGAGAGCACUUGUGAGGGUAAAUGAAAGGAACCUUCGAUUGUAUACAGCAGUAUCAGUUGUGUCUUGUGGGGUUAAGAAAAGCAAAGCAGAAUUAAAGCUCUAGAGGGAAGCACCUGUGUCAGGGGGGCCACAUGGAGUUCACGCGUUCAGGGGCCUUGUUCUGUUUGGCUGGAAGGUAAAGCAUUGAAUUCAGAUUUUUAUAUAUUGAGUUCAUGGGUGAGAGGUGAAAUGGUGGGUGAAAUGGUGGGUGAAAUGGGUGAAGAAGGUUAAAAGGUACGAAAUUCCACUUAUAAAAUUAAUAAGUCCUGAGGAUGUAAUGUACAGCAUGUGACUACAGCUAAUAAUACUGUACAGUGCAUUUGAAAAUUGCUGAGAGAGUAGAUCUUAAAAGUUCUCAUCACAAGGAAAAAAAUUAGUAACUGCAUGGUGAUGGAUGUUAACCAGACUUACUGUGGUGAUCAUUUCACAAUAUAUACAAAUAUGAAAUCAUUAUGUUGUACACCAAAACUAAUAUAAUGUUAUACGUCAGUUAUAUCUCAGUUUAAAAAAGGGAAUUCAUGGUAUAAUUUCCAGGGUAUUCACUAAAAGAUUAGAGCAAAGGUAUGGAGGGGAAAAAAGCAAUCUUAGAGAAGGGAGAAAAGAUGGGGAGACAAAGAAAC